AUGAAGAUCACACUAGAACAAGGCUUCUCUGAAAUUGAAUUUGAAGCUGAUAUCAUGCAAAACAUCAACCGGAGCUCCAACACCCCCAUCUCCAUGCACUGUGUCAUGUUUGGACCCGAAGGCUGGGCGGACCUACCACAUGGAUUAUUGCACUCCAUCAUUGUCCUGCUGGGUUCAACUCGUGACCUUCUUGCAUUCAUCGCCACCUGCCCUAGCUGGUAUGCCGCAUUCAUGUUAAUCCAAUCUACCUUAGGCGAGCUCUUCCCACCUGUUAUUUUUCGGAACUGUGCCAACCAGACAAGCUCAGCUGGCUCUAACAUUGGAAACACAUGGGAGCUCGUUGAUCCUGUAUACCCAAGUACUCUGUUGUGUCGGUUGACCCCUCCAAGUAUUUUGGACAAAAUGGCAGUCAUCAAAUGUUCUUAUGGUCAUGCAAUUUUCUGCUACGACAGAUCCCUUGUCAUUAUGGACGUGCUCACUGGCACUAUGGUUGCAGCUCCACCUUUCCCAUUGAGUCAACUAUGCUAUAGAACCUUCAUAUCUCCAGAGGCGUCACCAGAUUCAUAUCUAUUUGUCAGCAGCCCGCAUUGUCUGUACGCUUGGCGAGUUGGGAGCCCCUCUUGGUUGCACUGCGAUUUUCUAAAUGCACAUUUGAUCAAGGAGAUGGUAUCCUUCAAAGGUCGGGUCAUUAUGAGGAUGCGUCAAAAACUAUACACCGUGCAUUUGGCACCUCAGUUUCAUGUUGAGGUACUAAGAGUUGAUUGCAGAGAUUAUAUGGACCCAUAUGUGCUUUCCGGAAAUUUGGUGGCUUGUGAAGACAUACUUCUCCUACUUGGUCAUAACGGGGAAGCCUUCUCCAUUGACUUUCAACUGAACCUGCAAAGUAUGUGCGCGUGGAAGAGGGAGGCUUGA
rnacentral:rRNA from 1 species